AGUCGAACGGUAACAGGAAGCAGCUUGCUGCUUUGCUGACGAGUGGCGGACGGGUGAGUAAUGUCUGGGAAACUGCCUGAUGGAGGGGGAUAACUACUGGAAACGGUAGCUAAUACCGCAUAACGUCGCAAGACCAAAGAGGGGGACCUUCGGGCCUCUUGCCAUCGGAUGUGCCCAGAUGGGAUUAGCUAGUAGGUGGGGUAACGGCUCACCUAGGCGACGAUCCCUAGCUGGUCUGAGAGGAUGACCAGCCGCACUGGAACUGAGACACGGUCCAGACUCCUACGGGAGGCAGCAGUGGGGAAUAUUGCACAAUGGGCGCAAGCCUGAUGCAGCCAUGCCGCGUGUAUGAAGAAGGCCUUCGGGUUGUAAAGUACUUUCAGCGGGGUAGGAAGGCGACAGGGCCUAAUAACCCUGUCGAUUGACGUUACCCGCAGAAGAAGCACCGGCUAACUCUGUGCCAGCAGCCGCGGUAAUACGGAGGGUGCAAGCGUUAAUCGGAAUUACUGGGCGUUAAGCGCACGCAGGCGGUCUGUCAAGUCGGAUGUGAAAUCCCCGGGCUCAACCUGGGAACUGCAUUCGAAACUGGCAGGCUAGAGUCUUGUAGAGGGGGGUAGAAUUCCAGGUGUAGCGGUGAAAUGCGUAGAGUAUCUGGAGGAAUACCGGUGGC
rnacentral:rRNA from 1 species